UUUCUUGUAUUUUCUUUUCUUCUUCUUUCUCACUUCGAAAGCCCUCCCCUUUAUGUCUUUCUCUCAUCCAUUGAGCCGAAACUCAUAUUCUUCUAUCCAUAGUUACAAGCCUUCUUCUAUUUUUGUUUCUCUUAUUGUUCGAUUGUGGAUGUUGGUGAUUUAUUUAUAAUUAUGGGUGUUUAUCAUUUUGUUGGAUUUAGGGUUUUCUAAUUUUUGUUGGAUUGUGGCUGUAUAUGGUUCAUUGUUCAUGUCUUUAGAAACAAAUUUCCUGCUUCCACUUUUAUCGGUCCUUAUUCAGUGUCAUUUAUAUUUUUCGUUGUUAUUUGGAUAUUUUGGAGCGACCUACAUUCCAUGGCUCCAGAUUUGUUUUAACAAAGUCCAAUUCUAUUCUCUGACCGAGGAUCUGAUGCAACUAAUCACACUAUAAUCUUGGAGCUUGAAUCGCAAGCUUAGAAGAUGACAAAUACUUGCCUUCCACCUGACACAUCAGAGGACAAUGAUUCCUAGAAUUUGAAUUAUUGAGAAACCACACCAUCCUACUUUAUUUGCCAUUUCCAAGUCUAGCACACUUUCAUUUGUGGAAGCCUAAAAUAAAAGUUUUCAAGUGUUGGUAUCAUUGAGAAAAUAACACUUCAAAGAAGAUUAUCAGAGACAUCGAACUCUUUAAAGUAUAUAUGGAGGCUCCAUUGAAGUUUAAUUUUCUUAUGAGUAGGAAAUUUUCAACUGAUAUUUUAUUUAACUCUCUCCUGUAAAAUAGUGGGGAAGAAGUAAAGAAGAACUAUUCUUAGCAAAAGGCUAGAAAAUGUUGUAAGGUAUGAGAAAACAACUGAUAGUAUCAUAACUUUGUGUUUUGCCAUUUUGGCACAGGUAGUCUUGGUUCCAGGGAGUGCAUGUGGAGAUGAUUCUUUGUUCCGCAUUUGUUAUGCAGAAUCCCUUACUAUCCUACAUGCAGAUGUAGAAAGAAUAAACAAGGAAAUUGUAAUGGGAUGUUCCCAAGUAUUAGACAUUUAAACAGUGUUACUGUGAUCAAAAUAGCAAGUUAUGUUCAUUGAAAUAUAGUACUUCAUUAGGUGAUUUAUGAGUUACUGUUAUCUAAUCCAAGCUUGUACUUAAAGUAAGUAGUUUCAAUCACUGUAAUUUUCUUUUUA